GACGGGCCUGGUUAUUUUCGCUAGAGGGCCCCAAGCCCCGUGGGGAAGUGCGUAGAACGAACAAGGCCUUCCGAGAACUCUCCAGGCGGCGGCUCGCUUGCUGCCUCUCUGCUCCCACCGCCGGCGGCCUCCUCCCCCCGCCCCUCCCGUGAGCAGCUUGACCCAGCACCGAGAGCUGGCCGCAUCGGGCGCUGUCGGCAUGGCGAGCAGCGGGGGAGGCGCGGCUGCGGCGCGGAUGGACCCCGAGGCGGCGACGGAGCUGGCGCGGAAGGGGGUCACGCUGCUGCUCCUCGACGUGCCCCAGCACACCGUCCUCGGCCUCGACACGCAGGUGUUCUCGGUGGGCCCCAGGUUCAGAGGGAUCAAGAUGGUGCCGCCAGGCCCGCAUUUCCUCCACUACUGCUCCCCCAGCAGGCACGGGAAUGAGUUCGCGCCGACAGUCGGAUUCUUCCUUACUACUCACCCAUCUCAGGUGGUCGUUCGAAGAUGGCAUGCUCAAGAGGAGAGACUAGUGACACUGUCAGAAGAGGAGGAAAUCAGAUACUCUGAAGCAGUAAAACGUUUCGAGUUCGAUGAUCAGCUUGGGCCAUACAAUUUGGAUUCUUUUGGAGACUGGAAACAACUUUCAAGCUACUUGUCACACAGUGUCAUUGAACGCCUUGAGCCAAUUGGUGGAGAAAUUACAAUUGCAUUGGAGGCAUCAUGGAUGGAUAGAGCUCCCCAAACAGAUAUGGAGAGACGAUUGAUGGAACAACUUAGAGAAGACAAAUUUGCAAAGAAAGCCCCUGCACAGCCUGAGAGGAGAGGAUGCUAUUACACAACUAUUCCCGCUUCGGUUAAGCACAGAAACAUUUCUGCAGAUGAGCUGACUUUGCUGAACUUGGACAGAACAAGCUUGCUGGAGACUGUCCUGGCCAAAAGUUAUCAAGGCCAAGAAGAUUUACUCUUGGGGGAGCUGCAGUUCUCUUUCAUAGCGUUUAUGAUGGGACAGUCGCUGGAGGCGUUUAUGCAGUGGAAAGCAUUAGUCAGUCUUCUUUUGAGCUGCAGUGAAGCUCCACUUCAUACAAGGACGCAAAUGUUUGUAAAGUUUAUAAGGGUUAUUUACUAUCAAUUCAAGCAUGGCUUUCAACGCACACAUGAUUCCAGAAGUAGUGAAGACAAGGGCAACUCUUUGUUUCUGGAUGAAGCAUGGUUCUCAAGAGACAUAUUUCUUUACCGGCUUUCCAAGGAUUUCUUAGCGGUAAUAUUUGAAGCUCAAGUCGUGGAUGGAGACCUUCUGUCGUGGGCUAGGAAACUUAAGACGCUCUUGGAGACCACGUUCGGAUGGGAUCUCGAGAACAAUGCGGCGAACCUUAUCGAUGAGGACGACGAGUUUGCUCCGGUGGUCGUGGAAAUGGACGGCUCCUAGGCAGCGUUAUGUACUACUACGGAAUCUCACGAGGAUGGUGCGUUGCGAAUUUCACACCUGUUAGUUACCAUGUCAAAACCGCACGCACGGUUGGUUGAGGAUCGUUCGGUGGCCUAGUUUGCUUGCAUCUGUCACCUUGAGAUGUUGGCUGCGGCGGCUGCUGCUGCUGCUGCUAACUACUCCCUCCGUUUCUAAAUGUAAGUCUUUUUAGAGAUUUCACUACAAACUACAUACCGAUGUAUCUAGACAUAUUCUAGAGUGUAGUUUACUCAUUUUGCUCCGUAUCUAGUUCAUAGUGGAAUAUCUAAAAAGACUUGUAUUUAGGAACGGAGGGAGUAUAUAGUUUUGCAAAGCAGAAUGAAACCUGGUGGGAGAUAUAAAUUUAAAAUGCGUAAUAACAAAUCAAUUUGCACACACCGUGUUGGUGCCAUCAGAGCUGACUGGCUGUAAAAAAAAAAAAAAAACAAAGAUGAAGCCGCACUCCGCUUGUCUGUAUGAAUCUUCCAUGUGCCUAGCGACAGGCCUGGUUACUUGUUCAGUGGUUAAAUGGAAUCUUACGGGCAUGUGGCCGCCGCCCUCGUUAACCUCGGGAUGAUGGUAGUAAUUAAUACGGAGACGUGACGCGUCACCUCAUUAUCACCAAGCUGAGGGAU
rnacentral:rRNA from 1 species